GACGAACGCUGGCGGCGUGCUUAACACAUGCAAGUCGAGCGGAGCGGCGAACGGGUGAGCAACGCGUGAGUAACUGCCCCCCUCCCUGGGAUAACAGUUGGAAACGGUUGCUAAUACCGGAUAGUGGGGGAUGACGCGCGUCCUAUCAGCCUGUUGGUGGGGUAGCGGCCUACCAAGGCGACGACGGGUAGCCGGCCUGAGAGGGCGACCGGCCACAAUGGGCGGGGUGACGGCCCGAACUGCAACGGGAGGCAGCAGUGGGGAAUGUGGCACAAUGGGGGGAACCCUGAUGCAGCAACCCGCGUGCGGGAUGACGGCCCUCUGGUUGUAAACGGCUUUGAGCCAUGACGCGGUAGUGGCAGAAGAAGCACCGGCUAACUACGUGCCAGCAGCCGCGGUAAUAC
rnacentral:rRNA from 1 species